UACGUAGGGACCGAGCGUUGUCCGGAUUCAUUGGGCGUAAAGAGCUCGUAGGCGGCUGUUCAAGUCGAACGUGAAAACUCACAACUCAAUUGCGGGCCUGCAGCCGAUACGGGCAGGCUAGAGUUCGGUAGGGGAGACUGGAAUUCCUGGUGUAGCGGUGAAAUGCGCAGAUAUCAGGAGGAACACCGGUGGCGAAGGCGGGUCUCUGGGCCGAUACUGACGCUGAGGAGCGAAAGCGUGGGGAGCGAACAGG
rnacentral:rRNA from 1 species